rnacentral:lncRNA from 1 species
GGACGGGAGCUGAGUUGGGAUGUACAAGGCUCAGUGGCCGGUCGCCGUUCUUCGAACUGGAUCCCAUCGAGACGGAGAACAGGAUCCUGGCCGGGCGCUUCGAUGCCUUCAGGCUGUACCCCAAUGCCUCACAGAGCGCUGCCCUCUUCAUCCGCAAGGUCCUCUCCAUCUACCCCUGGAGCCGGCCCACCAUCAAGGACUGUUUUGCCAACCCCUGGCUGCAGGACGCCUACCUGAUGAAGCUGCGCCGCCAGACGCUCACCUUCACCACCAACCGGCUGAAGGAGUUCCUGGUGGAGCACCAGCGGCGACGCGGCGAGGCCGUCACCAAACACAAGGUCUUACUCCGCUCCUACCCCGGCUCCGGCAGCCAGCCCCCCCCUGCGCCGGUGACGCAGUAGCCCUGCCCCCGCGGCGACGGAGGAGUCGCAGGAACAUUCCAGGGGCCGGCCCCGCGCCGGGCGUCGAGCAAACGGGACGUGCAGUGUCGUCCUUCCCGUGAGCCUGGCGUGCUCCGGCAAGGCUGGCCCGCUCGGGAUGCCGCGGCCGGCGGCAGAGCGGAGGAACAUUCACCCAGGUGCCGCGGGCCCCUUGGCCCGGCAGAGCUCGGGGCUCGCUGCUACGCGCCUCGCCUGACUGCUCCGCUCCUGCUCCUCCCGCCGGGAGCCUGCUUCAAGGGGCGGGACAUCCUGGUUUGCUGUGCCUGAGGACAGGAAAUGCUACGCAAACAGCUGGACUUUGCAGAGGAG